AAUCAUACAAGAGUUGUGAUUGGUUGGUUUGAAUCAUACAAGAGCUGUGAUUGGUUGAAAUACCCCACACAUAUAAUCAGCAACAGCUUCGUCCACAUUUUGUGGAAGUUUCCUCGUCUUGGUUUCCGGUAGCAACAUGACAGUGGCCGAGGAAAGCGCGAUCAACCCUGCUGUUAUGUAUGAUGCUGUGGCAGUGUUGCCGGAUUCACCUGGAUUUGGAAGUUAGCCUGGCUACCCUGCCACCCCACAUUUGUUGCCUAUGUGAAUGUGCCAAUAUUCCAACAUCCCAAGUGUGUAUGAACACCCCAG